rnacentral:rRNA from 1 species
AUGUUUCACAUUUUCUUACUUGAAAUACUGUGCUUGCCUAUUCAGAUGUUCCAAGACCCAAAUCAACAGAAAAACAACACAUACAACAUUUUUUUCCUUUUAACUUUGGGUACCCUUAUACAAGCCCUUGUUCAUUUUGUUUAUAUAGUGGUUAGAAUAGUAACCAUAUGUGCUUGCUCAAUACUGAUAAAUGGAAUAUUUUCAAAGCACGUAUGGUGUGGGUCUGUUCACAAUUUGGCGCAACGGGAGAUUACUGAAAAAUACAUAUUUUUUCAACAUGACAUGGUCUUGAAAUGGGACUACUAUCAAAUUAAAAUGUGUAGGUAUAUCUCAUUGUAG